rnacentral:rRNA from 1 species
GACGAACGCUGGCGGCGUGCUUAACACAUGCAAGUCGAACGGAAAGGCCUUUUCGGAGGUACUCGAGUGGCGAACGGGUGAGUAACACGUGGGUGAUCUGCCCUGCACUCUGGGAUAAGCCUGGGAAACUGGGUCUAAUACCGGAUAGGACCGCACUUUAGUGUGUGUGGUGGAAAGUUGUUUCGGUGUAGGAUGAGCCCGCGGCCUAUCAGCUUGUUGGUGGGGUCAGGGCCUACCAAGGCGGCGACGGGGAGCCGGACUGAGAGGUGGGCCGGCCACAUUGGGACUGAGAUACGGCCCAGACUCCUACGGGAGGCAGCAGUGGGGAAUAUUGCACAAUGGGCGCAAGCCUGAUGCAGCGACGCCGCGUGGGGGAUGACGGCCUUCGGGUUGUAAACUCCUUUCGCCAGGGACGAAGCGUUUUGUGACGGUACCUGGAGAAGAAGCACCGGCUAACUACGU